AUGCAGUCGAACGAGGUGCACUUUGUAGCAAUACGAGGGUAUCCUAGUGGCGAGCGGGUGAGUAACGCGUUGGUGACCUGCCCCAAAGUGUGGGAUAACAGUCCGAAAGGACUGCUAAUACCGCAUGUGGCCAUCGGGUUUAGAAGCCGAUGUCUAAAGCAGCAAUGCGCUUUGGGAGGGACCUGCGUCCCAUCAGCUAGUUGGUGAGGUAAUGGCUCACCAAGGCGACGACGGGUAGGGGACCUGAGAGGGUGGCCCCCCACAAUGGAACUGAAACACGGUCCAUACACCUACGGGUGGCAGCAGUAGGGAAUAUUGCACAAUGGGCGAAAGCCUGAUGCAGCAACGCCGCGUGCGCGAAGAAGGUCUUCGGAUCGUAAAGCGCUUUUCUGGGAGAUGAGAAAGGACAGUAUCCCAGGAAUAAGUCUCGGCUAACUACGUGCCAGCAGCCGCGGUAAAACGUAGGAGGCAAGCGUUAUCCGGAUUCACUGGGCGUAAAGCGCGUGCAGGCGGUUUGGUAAGUUGGGCGUGAAAUCUCCCGGCUCAACUGGGAGAGGUCGUCCAAUACUACCGGACUAGAGAACGAUAGAGGAAGAUGGAAUUCCCGGUGUAGUGGUGAAAUGCGUAGAUAUCGGGAGGAACACCAGUGGCGAAAGCGAUCUUCUGGAUCGUUUCUGACGCUCAGACGCGAAAGCUAGGGUAGCAAACGGGAUUAGAGACCCCGGUAGUCCUAGCCGUAAACGAUGUGAACUUGGCGUUGGUGGCUUAAACUCCAUCAGUGCCGCAGCUAACGCGAUAAGUUCACCGCCUGGGGACUACGGCCGCAAGGUUAAAACUCAAAGGAAUUGACGGGGGCCCGCACAAGCAGCGGAGCGUGUGGUUUAAUUCGAUGUUACACGAAGAACCUUACCCAGGCUUGACAUACAGGUUGUAGGGAUCCGAAAGGUGACCGACCCGCAAGGGAGCCUGAACAGGUGUUGCAUGGCUGUCGUCAGCUCGUGUCGUGAGAUGUUCGGUUGAGUCCGCUAACGAGCGCAACCCUCGCCGCGUGUUACACGUGUCACGCGGGA
rnacentral:rRNA from 1 species